UUUUCCUUUUCUGUACCUCAAAGAAGCUAUGAAAAUCUUACUUGACUUCUGAGUCUUCAGAGUAGAUUUAAAGGCAGAUAGACAACAAGGGAGACAUGGGAGCAUGUAACCUGGUGACCUCCAACCAAGUGGCUACAAGAUUGUCAGUCAUAUAUCCCAGCACCUGGCAUGCUUCCCCAUGUAAAUAGAGCGCCAUCGUGACCUUAAGCCUUCAGCCAAUGACGUUUGUCCACCCGGGAUAUUCCCACUCCCUCCCCCAAACUAUAUAACCCUUGGUUCACGUCAAAUAAAGCGUCUGUGCCUAAGUCCAC
rnacentral:lncRNA from 1 species